GACGAACGCUGGCGGCGUGCUUAACACAUGCAAGUCGAACGGAAAGGCCCUGCUUUUGUGGGGUGCUCGAGUGGCGAACGGGUGAGUAACACGUGAGUAACCUGCCCUUGACUUUGGGAUAACUUCAGGAAACUGGGGCUCAUACCGGAUAGGAGCUCCUGCUGCAUGUUGGGGGUUGGAAAGUUUCGGCGGUUGGGGAUGGACUCGCGGCUUAUCAGCUUGUUGGUGGGGUAGUGGCUUACCAAGGCUUUGACGGGUAGCCGGCCUGAGAGGGUGACCGGCCACAUUGGGACUGAGAUACGGCCCAGACUCCUACGGGAGGCAGCAGUGGGGAAUAUGGCACAAUGGGCGGAAGCCUGAUGCAGCAACGCCGCGUGCGGGAUGACGGCCUUCGGGUUGUAAACCGAUUUCGCCUGUGACGAAGCGUGAGUGACGGUAAUGGGUAAAGAAGCACCGGCUAACUACGUG
rnacentral:rRNA from 1 species